rnacentral:rRNA from 1 species
CUACGUGCCAGCAGCCGCGGCAAUACGUAGGUGGCAAGCGUUGUCCGGAAUUAUUGGGCGUAAAGCGCGCGCAGGCGGAUUGGUCAGUCUGUCUUAAAAGUUCGGGGCUUAACCCCGUGAUGGGAUGGAAACUGCCAAUCUAGAGUAUCGGAGAGGAAAGUGGAAUUCCUAGUGUAGCGGUGAAAUGCGUAGAUAUUAGGAAGAACACCAGUGGCGAAGGCGACUUUCUGGACGAAAACUGACGCUGAGGCGCGAAAGCCAGGGGAGCGAACGGGAUUAGAUACCCCGGUAGUCCUGGCCGUAAACGAUGGGUACUAGGUGUAGGAGGUAUCGACCCCUUCUGUGCCGGAGUUAACGCAAUAAGUACCCCGCCUGGGGAGUACGACCGCAAGGUUGAAACUCAAAGGAAUUGACGGGGGCCCGCACAAGCGGUGGAGUAUGUGGUUUAAUUCGACGCAACGCGAAGAACCUUACCAGGUCUUGACAUUGAUGGACAGAACUAGAGAUAG